rnacentral:rRNA from 1 species
UCCGGUGGUUAUAGCGUGGGGGAGACGCCCGGUCCCAUCCCGAACCCGGUAGCUAAGACCCACAGCGCUGAUGGUACUGCACUCGGUAGGGUGUGGG